AUUGAACGCUGGCGGCAGGCUUAACACAUGCAAGUCGAGCGGGGAAGGGUAGCUUGCUACCUGACCUAGCGGCGGACGGGUGAGUAAUGCUUAGGAAUCUGCCUAUUAGUGGGGGACAACAUUCCGAAAGGAAUGCUAAUACCGCAUACGCCCUACGGGGGAAAGCAGGGGAUCUUCGGACCUUGCGCUAGUAGAUGAGCCUAAGUCAGAUUAGCUAGUUGGUGGGGUAAAGGCCUACCAAGGCGACGAUCUGUAGCGGGUCUGAGAGAAUGAUCCGCCACACUGGGACUGAGACACGGCCCAGACUCCUACGGGAGGCAGCAGUGGGGAAUAUUGGACAAUGGGCGCAAGCCUGAUCCAGCCAUGCCGCGUGUGUGAAGAAGGCCUUUUGGUUGCAAAGCACUUUAAGCGAGGAGGAGGCUACUUGGAUUAAUACUCUAGGAUAGUGGACGUUACUCGCAGAAUAAGCACCGGCUAACUCUGUGCCAGCAGCCGCGGUAAUACAGAGGGUGCGAGCGUUAAUCGGAUUUACUGGGCGUAAAGCGUGCGUAGGCGGCUUUUUAAGUCGGAUGUGAAAUCCCUGAGCUUAACUUAGGAACUGCAUUCGAUACUGGGAAGCUAGAGUAUGGGAGAGGAUGGUAGAAUUCCAGGUGUAGCGGUGAAAUGCGUAGAGAUCUGGAGGAAUACCGAUGGCGAAGGCAGCCAUCUGGCCUAAUACUGACGCUGAGGUACGAAAGCAUGGGGAGCAAACAGG
rnacentral:rRNA from 1 species